ensembl:lncRNA
GGUUGUAAACUGAAUAAAAGUGGCUCCCUACGAAGCUUGGAAUCCGUGGGUGGACAGCUUCCAUCCCCCGCUCCCGCACCUGCCAGCGGGGACAACUUGGACUUUUCCUACCAGGGGUUGACUCAAACCGGGCGACCUGUGGGUCGGAGUCCGCUGCCCCCUGGUGGCGUCCGGGCGGCUUCCGGACGGCGUGGGCCCGACGGCUGUGACUCAGGGGUGGCGCCGCGGCCGCGCGGCGGGAGGCCCGGCUGGGGUUCCGCCGUGGGCCGAGCCGCCACGGCGCAAUUAAUUACCAGCUGCUGGGAAUCCUUGUCGCCCGCUCGCGGUGACUCACCGGGCGGUCAGGCUCAUUCGCCGAGCGUGGGGGCCUCGGUUUCCAAAAUGAAUUUCGGGGAGCGCGCCCGCUAGCGGGUGGGGCUCCCCGCCCCCGCGCCCGAGGGCGAGCUCGGACCCAGAGGGGACCCGGCGGCCCAGACGUCGCCCGCAGCGCGGGUUCCCUUCCCCGCAACAGGAAGCGGACGGGGGAAAGCGGCGUCCUCCCCAGCGGCCCCAUCCCAGGAGCCGCGGCUCCUGCAAUCCUCAGCGCUCCCCGGCCGGGGCUGGGCCGACCGGCCGGCGGCACCCUCCGGAUCCGACGCGGCCCUCCGGAUCCCAGCGGGCCAAGAGGAGGUGCAUCCAGACCCAUGACACACGCCCGCGGCCAGGUGGCUGACCCCGGGGGAAGCCGCGAGCGGCGGCGCGCUCCCCUCGGGCGUCCGCGGACCCGCCCCUCGUGCUCCCACUCUCCGCUGGAUUUCUCCUCUCCCUUAAGCUGCCUGUCUGCCUUCUCCGGCUGCAUGCCGUCUCUGUGUCCGAGUCCGGGUCUCUCAAACUCUCCGCCUCUCGGGGAGCUGGACUCGAGCCGCCCGAGAAGCCUCAUUUAUCCUCCCAUCCCCCUGCCAAAUCC